UCUGAAGUUGAAGCUCUAACUGAACAACUAAGUGAAGAGGAGGAGGAGGAAGAGGAGGAAGAAGAAGAAGAGGAAGAGGAGGAGGAAGAGGAAGAAGAAGAGGAAGAUGAGGAGUCAGGGAAUCAGUCAGAUAGGAGUGGUUCCAGUGGCCGGCGCAAGGCCAAGAAGAAAUGGCGAAAAGACAGCCCAUGGGUGAAGCCGUCUCGGAAACGGCGCAAGCGGGAGCCUCCGCGGGCCAAGGAGCCACGAGGAGUGAAUGGUGUGGGCUCCUCAGGCCCCAGUGAGUACAUGGAGGUCCCUCUGGGGUCCCUGGAGCUGCCCAGCGAGGGGACCCUCUCCCCCAACCACGCUGGGGUGUCCAAUGACACAUCUUCGCUGGAGACAGAGCGAGGGUUUGAGGAGUUGCCCCUGUGCAGCUGCCGCAUGGAGGCACCCAAGAUUGACCGCAUCAGCGAGAGGGCGGGGCACAAGUGCAUGGCCACUGAGAGUGUGGACGGAGAGCUGUCAGGCUGCAAUGCCGCCAUCCUCAAGCGGGAGACCAUGAGGCCAUCCAGCCGUGUGGCCCUGAUGGUGCUCUGUGAGACCCACCGCGCCCGCAUGGUCAAACACCACUGCUGCCCGGGCUGCGGCUACUUCUGCACGGCGGGCACCUUCCUGGAGUGCCACCCUGACUUCCGUGUGGCCCACCGCUUCCACAAGGCCUGUGUGUCUCAGCUGAAUGGGAUGGUCUUCUGUCCCCACUGUGGGGAGGAUGCUUCUGAAGCUCAAGAGGUGACCAUCCCCCGGGGUGACGGGGUGACCCCACCGGCCGGCACUGCAGCUCCUGCACCCCCACCCCUGUCCCAGGAUGUCCCCGGGAGAGCAGACACUUCUCAGCCCAGUGCCCGGAUGCGAGGGCAUGGGGAACCCCGGCGCCCGCCCUGCGAUCCCCUGGCUGACACCAUUGACAGCUCAGGGCCCUCCCUGACCCUGCCCAAUGGGGGCUGCCUUUCAGCCGUGGGGCUGCCACUGGGGCCAGGCCGGGAGGCCCUGGAAAAGGCCCUGGUCAUCCAGGAGUCAGAGAGGCGGAAGAAGCUCCGUUUCCACCCUCGGCAGUUGUACCUGUCCGUGAAGCAGGGCGAGCUGCAGAAGGUGAUCCUGAUGCUGUUGGACAACCUGGACCCCAACUUCCAGAGCGACCAGCAGAGCAAGCGCACGCCCCUGCAUGCAGCCGCCCAGAAGGGCUCCGUGGAGAUCUGCCAUGUGCUGCUGCAGGCUGGAGCCAACAUAAAUGCAGUGGACAAACAGCAGCGGACGCCACUGAUGGAGGCCGUGGUGAACAACCACCUGGAGGUAGCCCGUUACAUGGUGCAGCGUGGUGGCUGUGUCUAUAGCAAGGAGGAGGACGGUUCCACCUGCCUCCACCACGCAGCCAAAAUCGGGAACUUGGAGAUGGUCAGCCUGCUGCUGAGCACAGGACAGGUGGACGUCAACGCCCAGGACAGUGGGGGGUGGACGCCCAUCAUCUGGGCUGCAGAGCACAAGCACAUCGAGGUGAUCCGCAUGCUACUGACGCGGGGCGCCGACGUCACCCUCACUGACAACGUGAGUGAGCGUUUGGUUGAGGAGGAGAACAUCUGCCUGCACUGGGCCUCCUUCACGGGCAGCGCCGCCAUCGCCGAAGUCCUUCUGAAUGCGCGCUGUGACCUCCAUGCUGUCAACUACCAUGGGGACACCCCCCUGCACAUCGCAGCUCGGGAGAGCUACCAUGACUGCGUGCUGUUAUUCCUGUCACGUGGGGCCAACCCUGAGCUGCGGAACAAAGAGGGGGACACAGCAUGGGACCUGACUCCCGAGCGCUCCGACGUGUGGUUUGCGCUUCAACUCAACCGCAAGCUCCGACUUGGGGUGGGAAAUCGGGCCAUCCGCACAGAGAAGAUCAUCUGCCGGGACGUGGCUCGGGGCUAUGAGAACGUGCCCAUUCCCUGUGUCAACGGUGUGGAUGGGGAGCCCUGCCCUGAGGAUUACAAGUACAUCUCAGAGAACUGCGAGACGUCCACCAUGAACAUCGAUCGCAACAUCACCCACCUGCAGCACUGCACGUGUGUGGACGACUGCUCUAGCUCCAACUGCCUGUGCGGCCAGCUCAGCAUCCGGUGCUGGUAUGACAAGGAUGGGCGAUUGCUCCAGGAAUUUAACAAGAUUGAGCCUCCGCUGAUUUUCGAGUGUAACCAGGCGUGCUCAUGCUGGAGAAACUGCAAGAACCGGGUCGUACAGAGUGGCAUCAAGGUGCGGCUACAGCUCUACCGAACAGCCAAGAUGGGCUGGGGGGUCCGCGCCCUGCAGACCAUCCCACAGGGGACCUUCAUCUGCGAGUAUGUCGGGGAGCUGAUCUCUGAUGCUGAGGCUGAUGUGAGAGAGGAUGAUUCUUACCUCUUCGACUUAGACAACAAGGAUGGAGAGGUGUACUGCAUAGAUGCCCGUUACUAUGGCAACAUCAGCCGCUUCAUCAACCACCUGUGUGACCCCAACAUCAUUCCCGUCCGGGUCUUCAUGCUGCACCAAGACCUGCGAUUUCCACGCAUCGCCUUCUUCAGUUCCCGAGACAUCCGGACUGGGGAGGAGCUAGGGUUUGACUAUGGCGACCGCUUCUGGGACAUCAAAAGCAAAUAUUUCACCUGCCAAUGUGGCUCUGAGAAGUGCAAGCACUCAGCCGAAGCCAUUGCCCUGGAGCAGAGCCGUCUGGCCCGCCUGGACCCACACCCUGAGCUGCUGCCCGAGCUCGGCUCCCUGCCCCCUGUCAACACAUGAGAACGGACCACACCCUCUCUCCCCAGCAUGGAUGGCCACAGCUCAGCCGCCUCCUCUGCCACCAGCUGCUCGCAGCCCAUGCCUGGGGGUGCUGCCAUCUUCUCUCCCCACCACCCUUUCACACAUUCCUGACCAGAGAUCCCAGCCAGGCCCUGGAGGUCUGACAGCCCCUCCCUCCCAGAGCUGGUUCCUCCCUGGGAGGGCAACUUCAGGGCUGGCCACCCCCCGUGUUCCCCAUCCUCAGUUGAAGUUUGAUGAAUUGAAGUCGGGCCUCUAUGCCAACUGGUUCCUUUUGUUCUCAAUAAAUGUUGGGUUUGGUAAUAAA
rnacentral:misc_RNA from 1 species